ACUUUAACACUGAGGCGUGAUGACGAGGCACUACGGUGCUGAAGCAACAAAUGCCCUGCUUCCAGGAAAAGCCUCUAAGCAUCAGGUAACAUCAAAUCGUACCCCAAACCGACACAGGUGGUCAGGUAGAGAAUACCAAGGCGCUUGAGAGAACUCGGGUGAAGGAACUAGGCAAAAUGGUGCCGUAACUUCGGGAGAAGGCACGCUGACACGUAGGUGAAGUGAUUUACUCAUGGAGCUGAAGUCAGUCGAAGAUACCAGCUGGCUGCAACUGUUUAUUAAAAACACAGCACUGUGCAAACACGAAAGUGGACGUAUACGGUGUGACGCCUGCCCGGUGCCGGAAGGUUAAUUGAUGGGGUCAGCGCAAGCGAAGCUCCUGAUCGAAGCCCCGGUAAACGGCGGCCGUAACUAUAACGGUCCUAAGGUAGCGAAAUUCCUUGUCGGGUAAGUUCCGACCUGCACGAAUGGCGUAAUGAUGGCCAGGCUGUCUCCACCCGAGACUCAGUGAAAUUGAACUCGCUGUGAAGAUGCAGUGUACCCGCGGCAAGACGGAAAGACCCCGUGAACCUUUACUAUAGCUUGACACUGAACAUUGAGCCUUGAUGUGUAGGAUAGGUGGGAGGCUUUGAAGCGUGGACGCCAGUCUGCGUGGAGCCGACCUUGAAAUACCACCCUUUAAUGUUUGAUGUUCUAACGUGGACCCGUAAUCCGGGUUGCGGACAGUGUCUGGUGGGUAGUUUGACUGGGGCGGUCUCCUCCUAAAGAGUAACGGAGGAGCACGAAGGUUGGCUAAUCCUGGUCGGACAUCAGGAGGUUAGUGCAAUGGCAUAAGCCAGCUUGACUGCGAGCGUGACGGCGCGAGCAGGUGCGAAAGCAGGUCAUAGUGAUCCGGUGGUUCUGAAUGGAAGGGCCAUCGCUCAACGGAUAAAAGGUACUCCGGGGAUAACAGGCUGAUACCGCCCAAGAGUUCAUAUCGACGGCGGUGUUUGGCACCUCGAUGUCGGCUCAUCACAUCCUGGGGCUGAAGUAGGUCCCAAGGGUAUGGCUGUUCGCCAUUUAAAGUGGUACGCGAGCUGGGUUUAGAACGUCGUGAGACAGUUCGGUCCCUAUCUGCCGUGGGCGCUGGAGAACUGAGGGGGGCUGCUCCUAGUACGAGAGGACCGGAGUGGACGCAUCACUGGUGUUCGGGUUGUCAUGCCAAUGGCACUGCCCGGUAGCUAAAUGCGGAAGAGAUAAGUGCUGAAAGCAUCUAAGCACGAAACUUGCCCCGAGAUGAGUUCUCCCUGAGACUUAGAGUCUCCUGAAGGAACGUUGAAGACGACGACGUUGAUAGGCCGGGUGUGUAAGCGCAGCGAUGCGUUGAGCUAACCGGUACUAAUGAACCGUGAGGCUUAACCUUACAACGCCGAAGCUGUU
rnacentral:rRNA from 1 species